rnacentral:lncRNA from 1 species
UUCUCUGAUGCCACAGCAUGGGACCCCAGCAGGAGCCUACAUGGCAUGGGCAUGUGCAGUCUGGACGCACGUGGGGUAGUCCACCGCCCUGGGGAACCCUUGGUCAAUGCGGGACAGGAGCCGAUGCAUGAAUGCAUCCCCCCAUGGGUCGCGGUGUGGACAACUCCAAGAGGCAUUCAAUGUCCUGCACAGAGCUGCAGGUGGCUGACAGUUAUCUUCUACUGUGAGCCCAUGAUGCUGCAUGACGAAAUGUUUUGCCACCUUUUUUGGUGUAUUGCUGUCCAUGAUGCUGAAGCAUCCUUUGGUUCAGGGGUGAGUGGUUUCUCUUAUUCUUUGUCUACUCCUCUCCAACCUUCCCCAGGACUCAUGCUUUUUGUUAUUUAGUUUUUUAAUGGAAGAUUUUUUUUUAAACUGUUGCCGCAGAAAUAAAAUCAGG